rnacentral:rRNA from 1 species
CCUACGGGUGGCAGCAGUGGGGAAUAUUGGACAAUGGGCGAAAGCCUGAUCCAGCCAUGCCGCGUGUGUGAAGAAGGCCUUCGGGUUGUAAAGCACUUUCAGUGGGGAAGAAAGCCUUGUGGCUAAUACCCUCGAGGAAGGACAUCACCCACAGAAGAAGCACCGGCUAACUCCGUGCCACCAGCCGCGGUAAUACGGAGGGUGCGAGCGUUAAUCGGAAUUACUGGGCGUAAAGCGCGCGUAGGCGGUCUGAUAAGCCGGUUGUGAAAGCCCCGGGCUCAACCUGGGAACGGCAUCCGGAACUGUCAGGCUAGAGUGCGGGAGAGGAAGGUAGAAUUCCCGGUGUAGCGGUGAAAUGCGUAGAGAUCGGGAGGAAUACCAGUGGCGAAGGCGGCCUUCUGGACUGACACUGACGCUGAGGUGCGAAAGCGUGGGUAGCAAACAGGAUUAGAUACCCUUGUAGUC